CUGCCUUUGGUGUAAGUGGCAUAUAUGUCUUCCAAACAUGGGGUUUCCUUAGGGGGAAAAGGUAGA
rnacentral:tRNA from 1 species